UACGUAGGGUGCAAGCGUUGUCCGGAAUUAUUGGGCGUAAAGAGCUCGUAGGCGGUCUGUCGCGUCGGCUGUGAAAACUCGGGGCUCAACCCCGAGCCUGCAGUCGAUACGGGCAGACUAGAGUGCUGUAGGGGAGACUGGAAUUCCUGGUGUAGCGGUGGAAUGCGCAGAUAUCAGGAGGAACACCAAUGGCGAAGGCAGAUCUCUGGGCCGUAACUGACGCUGAGGAGCGAAAGCAUGGGGAGCGAACAGG
rnacentral:rRNA from 1 species